CAGAAGAGGUUACAUAGGACUUUAUCACUUGUUGCUUUUCCAUUAUUACAGGAUCCAAGUAACUAACUCUACAUCAAUUCUUUGGAAGUUGAUGCUAAGGCAUGUGUAGACUUCGUGGCAAAAGUAGUUGGAGUAACUUCGGGACCAAAAGGAAGAAUUUUGGUGUUGCACAUUAAAUUGCAUCCCAAGAUUGUUAAAGAUACUGAAAGUGUUUUAAACAGGAUGAAACAUAUUCAGCUCUCAUAUGGGAUUUGAUAAAACUACCAAAAUGCUUGUUUCAGAACUCAAAUUGGCAUCAGGGAGGAAAUGAUUAUGCAGUAGGAAACAGGACUUCGACUCUUUUCAAAAGUAGGAAGAGAAUUAAUAAGAAGUGAGACAUGGAGCUAUGGUAAAAAUAGCCUGCACAUUGUAGAGGGGAUGGAAUUUGAUCGCGGAUAUUUUUCUCCUUGACAUGAUUGGAGUUUUGGAUCUCAUAUUUCUAUCUGUUGGUGUAUGGUAUUUAAGA